UUUCCCUAUAGUGUUUGCCAGUACUGCAUAAAUUAAAUAAAUAGUACCAAGUACUGCAUAAAUUAAAUAAAAUCGUGUAGUCCAACUUUUCAAAAAUCACUGACAUGUAUAUUUUAUCUUUGAAUUGGCAUCCUUAAUAUUAACUCAAUGUUUGAGGGAUCUUUUCGAAUCAGCUGCUGAAUGUACUGCUGCACCUCCAGGGUGCUGUCCAUUUCCUUCAAGGUUUCAUCUGGCCAACGACAAAAGUCCUGAAUAUGAACAAAAUAUUAUUAUUGCAAAUUAAUCAUUACAUUGUCAAAGAAAAUGAAGAUUGGUUGCAGUUCUUGUUAUAGUUAUAGUGCUGUAAUGUUUGGUAUUGAAAUUUUGAAGAUAAAAAUACAUGUUGGCAAUUUGCAUUUCAUUCAAAGCAGUAAUAACAAUAUCGAA